UACGGGGGGGGUAAGCGUUGUUCGGAAUUACGGGGCGUAAAGGGCUCGUAGGCGGCCAACUAAGUCGGACGUGAAAUCCCUCAGCUUAACUGGGGAACUGCGUCCGAUACUGGAUGGCUUGGAUUUGGGAGAGGGAUGCGGAAUUCCAGGUGUAGCGGUGAAAUGCGUAGAUAUCUGGAGGAACACCGGUGGCGAAGGCGGCAUCCUGGACCAAUAUUGACGCUGAGGAGCGAAAGCCAGGGGAGCAAACGGG
rnacentral:rRNA from 1 species